GGAGAAGUACCCAAGUGGCCGAAGGGGCUCCCCUGCUAAGGGAGUAGUGGUGUUAAAGCCAGCGAGGGUUCAAAUCCCUCCUUCUCCGCCA
rnacentral:tRNA from 1 species